CGCUGCUAUUUUACUGACCCUAAUUAUAUCGUUGAAGACUCUAAGCAGGUCAGGACAAGAAGAAAACGACGCAACCGCAACCAGAUGAGGGAAAUUAUCAAGGACGGAUGGGCAGACUAUGAAGGAGAAGUGAUAAGAUCAGAGGACAUACAGUUUAAACAGAAUUAUCUAGAAACCGUAGCACCGAGUCAGGUGUGGAAAGAGAAGAUAACUAUACAUGAAGAGGAGGCGCCGC
rnacentral:lncRNA from 1 species